GACUUAUGAGCUGAUGAUAGCCACAAUCAUUCACAACUACAUGAGCUUUGGCCAACAGCCAAAUUGUACUUUCAACACCUUCUGUUGCAGGCAGCACGACUUUACUCACGGCACCUAAGUUGUCUCCACCAGGAUGUGUCUUGCUUAAUUCGAUAACAAGAGGCUUUAAAGAUCCAUCAUCUUUCAAGAAUAGGAUUGUCCUUGUGGCAUAAGCUUUUGAUGUUGGUAGGUUGUUUAUCCUCGUCAAAUAAGGGAUGAAUGCAUCAUGGUGAUCUAGUAUGAAUAAUCUGUCUUUACCAAGUGCCUGUUCCAGAAAUUUUUAUUUCAGUGACUCAAUUUCUUAACUUCAAUUUACAAAUCCAAGUAGAGCAAUUAAAUAUUGACUCUUUUACAUGUUAAUCGAGUGUAUUUUGUUUUUAAUUUGCAUCAGAAGGAUUACUGAAAAGGAAAUUAUAAGAGAAUUUAGCAAAAGUCAUGCCAGAUAGAAGUCGAAUGAUGAUGUUUUUUUAUUGUGAAAAAUGCAUAUCAUUACCUCUUCUACUGUGACCCCAUCCAUGUUAAUCUCCAACUGUUCUUUUGUUAUGGUACUAGUUUGAUCACCAUAGAUUGUGGGAUCAAGUGAGCUUUUUGGUGGAAAUUCCUGCCAUUAGUAAACAAUGAUGUGAGGAAGGAUGACAGAUAUACGUAUAUAAUGAAUUUAAUAACAAAACAUUUGAACUUACUUGCAGACGACGAAUUACAUUUGGAUUUACACCAGCAAUGGUCUCUCUUGCAAAUUCUUCAUCAGUCAUCCAUGCUGACUUGCUAACUGUCCAAAGCAUAAAAUAUGUACUUGUCAAAUUAUCAAUUCAACAAACGCUAACAUGAUUAAGUUGUUUUGAUCAAGAUGUAUAAUCGAAGGUACCUCUGAUUACAUGAGGUGGUGGAAAUUGAAGGACAUUUUCACCGUCAGUACGGAAGAUUUCCUUGAGGGCUGGUAAGGGACUGAUUUGGCUGAGUAUAUCUGUUGGCAGCUUAAGUCCACCCUCAUAGAGACUACGCACAUCAUCGAAGCUAUCAAACUCACUUGAUGUAACCCUCAAGUCAAAAAUUGCAGAUUUUAACAAAGGAAACACAUUCUGAGAUAGGGAUUUGAGUCCAUAUAUAAGAAAAUCCGAUGACUUCAAGUGACCGAAAUUCUCAUCUCUUGGGACAUAAAUCUCACCCGGUUUCUCACUGUUGGGGUCUGUUACAAAAUAACCCAGAGUGAAAGAAUUAUCAACAAACGCAUAAAUUUGUAUACCAAGAUCAACAUAAUAAUAAAGUUUACAUCUUUAUCCACCAAUGAAACCAUAUAUGCCCUUGUGUUUAGUUUCACUAUAAAGAAAAAUCUUACCUUUUUUGGUCUUGUCUCUACCAGAUCUAACCCUGCGAGGGUAUGGAUAGUUGCUAGAGCCUCCAAGGAUUGGGCGAGGCUCACCACCAUCUGGGUUUCCAAUGUCAUUAUACACGUCAUAGUCAUAGAUUCUAUCUUCUUCCUUGCGUUUUCCAGUUCCAUCUCCUCUAAGAGUCUCCAAUUCUUCUUGUCUGUACUUCAGCAAUGGAGCUGGUGUUGCACUUGGAACAUAUGUCUGUCAUAUAUUUCACCAAUUUUGUCAUUCAAAGAAUUACAAACAAAACCCAUUUGUCUUUGUUUGAAAAAUUAGUUGGGUGAACUUUUGUACACAUUAGAAAAGCAGAACUUACAUUGUUGACAAAGAAAAUACGAUCUUUUUUGUAUUUUUUGAAGUUAUAAACCCAGGAGUUACAGACAAAGUGAAUGCUUCCAUGGUUUGGAAUGUCUUCAAGAGUCACACUAACAAGGAAAAACUCAUCAGUCUUGAAGUUUUUUAUGUAAAAUGCUCCUGGAAUUCCAAAGUCGGAAUCCCAUUCAAAAUAAAUACUGAAUGCCUCUUGUCUUGCUCCCAAAGUGGGUAGUGUUGGAAGAUGACUGUUCAGAUAUGUUUCCUCUCCAACUUUCCCUUUCCCACCUACAUAGUUAAACUCCAUAAAUAGUUAAAAAAACAAGGGCACGUCACCCAACAAUAAUUUCAAAUGCUAUAUAUGUAUUUUUUUAAAUAUAAAUAUAUAUUCAAUUUAUAAUAUGUUUAUACAAUAUAAAUACAAAAAAAAAAUAUUAUCUUAUAUCUAUUUACGUGUAAAUGUAAAUAAUUAAAGAAUUUUUUUUGAAUAAUGAUUUAUGAAAUGUACUAUUGUCACAAAUAAAUAAUUUUAUAUGUACAAAGAAUAUUAUUAAAUGUUAAUUAAAUAUUGAAUAAGAUUAAAAUUAAUAAUCUUAUUAUUCUCAAAAUUAUUACAACCAUAAUAUUAUAUAGAUUUUUCUUUCAUAACUUUUUUAUUUUACUUUUCCUCUUUUGUCCUGUUUUUAUGCAGUGAGGUAAUUAUUUGACUUAUAUUUAUUACAUUAGUUAUUUUCUAUAAUUACACCUGUUUGAUGGUAGUUCUGUUUUAUUGUGUUAAUAAUAAUUUGAAGAAAUGAAAAGAGAUUGAACGAACCAUGAGUCUGAGUAGCACUGAUCAACUGCAUGGAAACGUUACGCCCUAAGAAGGCGGUGGCAGCGUCGAUUACUCCGCCGGCUACAUUGGCGACGCCGCCCAAGAUACCGCCGACGGCGCCAACAGCGCCGCCGACAACGCCGCCAAUACUGUUAGGAACGGAGACGGAGGAGAUGGCGUUGAAGUCCAAGACAUUCUUGGGCAUCAACACCACAGUCCCCUUUAUCUUCUGUGUCCUUUUGCCGAUCCCAAACAUUUUUCCUCCUUCUGUUUACACACACUCAACACUAUUGUUCUUAUCCUUUUCAGAAGAAGAAGAAGAAGCUUGUGUGGUGAAACACUGCAUAGAAGGUACUUAUAGUGGCAGAAUUCAUGGCAUACCUACCUGCAUAUCUAACACGUGCUAUAUAACAUUGCAUAAUGAUGUUCCAGUCCAAUCAAACUCCACAAAUUUCAACAUUGAGUAAGAAAAAAUGAUUCAAAAGUUUAUAUAUAUACAAAUACCUCUAAUAAAAAAAAUAUUUUGAAUAACUAUAAAAAACAUAAAUAUCUCCAAUAAAAAAAGGUUAAAUAUCUUUUUUUUCCCAUUGGUUAAGAAUAUUCAAAUUGGUCCUCAUUUUAUUUUUCUGUUCACUAUAGUCCUAAAGAACGUAAUAUUAUGUUCAAUUUAGUCAUUUUUAUGUUCCAUGUAGUCCUAAAGAACGUAAUUUGUGUUCAAUUUAGUCCUUGUUUGUAGUUCACGGAAUUUGUAAAAAGGAUUAAAUUGAACACAAAUUACAUUCUUUAGGACUACAUUGAACAGAAAAAAGACUAAAUUGAACAUAAUUACGUUUUUUAGGACUAUAUUGAACAGAAAAAUAAAAUGGAGACCAUUUUGAAUAUUUGUAACCAAAACUAGGACCAAAAAAUGUAUUUUACCUAAAAAAAAAGUAUCUUGAAUAAGUAUAAAAAACAAAUCAGUAAAAACUUAAUCCAAAAUGGAUAAUAUUUUUUGAUGUAUAGAGAUCUAUGUGUGUCCAACCUACCUACAAUGACGAUAGAACAAUCAUUUACAUUCAUUUUACAUAUUAUAAAAUAAUUUAAAAAAGUAAACUUUUUGUAAUUUUUUUUAAAUAAAAAAUAAAAAGUAAGAAAACAUUAUACUAUCAUUUCUCUUCAUUGUUUUGUCAAUUUCUUAGGAUCAACAUUAUCCACUCAUAUCUCUUCUGUGUUCUGGUUUGUUAUAUUAAUUAGUGGUCGUAAAAAUUAUUUCAAAUAUUUCAUAAUACAGAGAAUUUUUGUAAUACAGGCAGAUUUUUUUCUUAAUAUUUCAUAAUUUAUUUAUAUUAGCCAUAGAAUGGUCCAGUUCUACUUUUCAUGCUUUUGUUUUUAUAUCAUUGGACCACCUGCGUAUGCUUAUUCGUUCGCCUUGUGGAUGAGAUAUGCAUUAAAUCUAUUAAUGAUUGAUUUUAUAUCAUUGCCUUUUCUCUUCUAUCUUUCUAAGAUUUAGGAGUUAAUUUUUAUCAUCUUAUUGAUCAAGGUAUUAGUGAGACUACGACAAAGUGAAAAUGAAUUCUGACUCUUAAAAAAAUUCAAUUAAACUAAGAUUUUAUUUUCCCUCUACUUAAAAAAAAUUGAUAAACUACAUUUGUAUGUGAAAGUAAAAUAAAUUUGUACAUUAAAGUUUAAUGUUUCAAUAGGAAAUUUAACAUUGUGGGGUUUUGAUUGAGAUCGAAGACAUACAUUCCUUUUGAAAUUCUUCUUGGAACUUGAAAUAAUAGAGUGAGAAUCAUCAAAUUGAUUUAUGUUAGUUAUAAUAUAGAGUAUAUGUAAUAUAUUUGUUCUUUUAUACAUUUGAAAUUGGGUUGGACAAUUAUAUUUAUUUUUGUUCCAUCGAUUUAUGUUUAGAUUAUGAUUAGAUAUUGUUGAAUUUAUAUAUUGGGUUUUGAAUGGUAAUUUUGAGCUGAAAUGAUUCAAAUAUAAAAUUGAUGUAAUAAAUAGGUUGGUGUGUUUUGAUUAAGAGUGUCAAAUGGAUUGAUUUACCAAUGCACUAAAAGUAAAUUAGUUUAAGUCAACAAUUUUAUAAUAUGACUUAAUUCUCAUAAAUUGAUUAAUGAAUUUACUCACUUAAAAAUAUUUUAUAUAUUUUUAAUUUAUUUUAUAUAUAUAUAUAUAUGCUAGAAAUAGGAUCGUCCAAUUCUCCUUUUUCGUGGCUUGUUUUCAUAUCAUUGGACUAUAUAUAGGAGAUGCAAUAAAUCACUGAAUAAUUGGUUUGAAAUUUUUUUGAAGGGUUCAGAAUUUAUUUUUAUAUUUAAAAUUGAAAAAAAAAAUAUCAUUCGUAGCUUCUUAAUAUCUCCAUAAAUUAAUAUUAUUAAUUCUCUCAAAAGAUACAGGAAUUUAAUUAGGGGAACGUGGAAUUAUGGACUUACGGGUGUCAAUUCGUUAAUAUAUCGUAAAUCUUAACUCAUUUAAAUAAGUCUCUUUUGAGGAUUUUAAGCAACGGGAUAAAGAAAACUUUCAAGUUUAGAAAGUCUCUCUUUCAAAUAGAUUAUGGUUAGGACUAAAAUAUGUUUGGUGCAAUGAAAAAUUUAAUUAAAUACGCCAGUUGCAAUUUGUUGGAAUUUGAACCAUGUUUCCAAGACUAAUGCCGGGUGGUUUAGAUUGAAAAUUUAGAUGAGUGGAUUUAGUUUUGAGGUUUAUAUGAGUUGAUCGAGUUUGAAGGUUAUGGACUAGUUAAGGUUAAUUCAAAUCAAAAGUUAAAAUAAACUAGUUUGGGUGGUUGAUUGAACCAAGUUAAUAAUCGAGAUGGGUCAAUCAAGUUGAAGGUUGUGAUGAGUCAAUCUAGAUUGAAGGUUGAGACGAACUGACAUGUAUUGGAAGUCAAGACACACUAUGAUCGCUUGACAACAACUAAAAUUUUAUCAAAUUCAACAAAUUUGGUUGAACUUGGCCCAAUCUUCCUUGACCAAAAUUUGACCAUAUUUGACAAAGUCGAGCCAAGCUGAAAUUUGUCUAAAUUUGACUUAUUUAGACCUUGUUGAAAUACACCCAAAUUUAAUAGUAUUGACUUGGUCAAAAUUUGGCCGAAUUCGACCAAGACGAUUAUGACCAAAAUUUAGUUGAAUUCGGUCGAGUUGGUCCAAGCCAAAAUUAGGUCAAAAUUGAUCGAGAUUACCUAGGUUGACAUUUUUUUGAAUUUUAUAUAAUUGACCAUGAUCGUAAUUUGGCUAAAUUCGACUAAGUCGUCCCGAUCGAAAUUUCGUCAUGUUAACCUUAGCAUAAUUUUGUCCGAAUUUGACUCAAUCAGUUUUGUUCGAAUUCUAUGGAAUCAACCACAACUAAAUUUUGGUCGAAUUCAACUGAGUCAACCAUAAUUGGGAUAAGGUCAAGUCGGUAACAAUAAAUAGCGAAUUCCAACCACAUAUGGUCAUUUACAAAAACGAAGCUGAUGACACUAAAGAAAAACUUAAACAAAGACGAUCAGAUUCGUUUAAAGUAUUCAAAAAAAGGGGUGGAAAGCAGAUAGAAGGUGCGAUGCAAGAGUCUGCAAAAUCAAAUAUGAGUAAAAGUGGGUGUAUGGAUGGGUGGAGUUAAUUAUAAGAGAGAAAAAGUUUUUUACCCUUAUCAGAAAGGUACUUUUCUUAAUUUAGAAUUUGGAGGUGUAGAAAGAAAAGUUGAAGGUACAAGGAGAAGCAUCCGUGGAGAGAUAGCAUGUAAUCUGUAACCCAACUUUAGAAAACUAAAUUGAAAAACGGAUAGCCCAAAAGAAAAACGGGCUUAACGAGAGUGUUAUCAUUAUAUAUUAUUAUUAUUUUAAUAUGAAUUUCUUAAACAUAUUUAGUCAAUUUUUUAUUUAGUUAUAAAUUAGCAUUUUAGUUUGUGCAAGGAAGAUAAAUGUUUUAUCAUAUAUAACAAAAAGUACGAUAUAUAUAUAUAUAUAUAUAUAUAUAUAUAUAUAUAUAUAUAUAUAUAUCCAUCAAAUAUCUUACUUAAACAAGUUUUAUAUUUUAUAUUGCUUUAACAUCAUUUCAAGAAAUAAAUUUAUGUUUAACUAUUGAGAGACGAUAAGGACAUUUGUGAAAUGUUGUUGGUCAUUAGUAUACUUUUCAGAACUAGAAGACUUGUUGCAUCGAUUUAUCUGUUUUAUAUACACAAUGAUUGCACCAAAUCUAUCACAUUAUUUUCUGAUUAAUGUUUAAAACAAAAAACACUGUUAUUUUCUUGGUCAAUCAAAGCACACAGUUCCAAACAGAGAAUUACAAGCAUAAUAAAAAACACAACAGCAUGAUCAUUUGUGUUAUGACAAAGUGGAUACAUAAUCAUGGUAUUCAACCACACGUUGUCUAGAUAGAGAUACUGUUAGGGAUUCCUCUGAAAGUCAACCCUUCCUCGCUUGAAGGAAUGAGCAAUGUGUAUGGAAGUUCAACUGGUCCACAUCGGUUUUUCAAGGCUGAAUCGGUGUUCCUUGCUGUGAUUUUUGCUUCAAUCUCUGUCAACUUGCUUCCAAACCUUUUGAACGCUUCCAAUGCCUUAGAAUCAGAUGUCCAAUUUGGAUGAUCUCUCUUGCCAAGGUAGAUCUCAUCAGAAGCAUGCCUUGACAGUAUUUCUAUCACUGUCAGAUCAAUAAUGGCCUCACGCUUAGGUGUAAUUGUUCUCAAAUAUGCAGUGUGAGGACUCUUCAGCAUCUCAUCAUAUUCUUUGGUUCCUGGCUCAGGGAUGAAUCUUCUGCUUAAAGUUGGACGGUUCAGGAUAAAACCUCCAUAAGGAUAUUGUCCAAAAUUAACAGCUGCAUGAAGAGCUGAAGCAGUCCAAAUGAUAGUAGAACUUGAUUGAAUAAGCUCUUGACGAGUCUUCAUUUUAGGCCACCAUUGUUUAUCUUUUAAGUCUGCAUGACCCUUCUCUACAGCUUCCUUCCACCAUGCUUGAAGUUCAGUAUCUUGUUGAACUGCCACAUCUGUAGGGUAAUACAAGGACACAUACUCUUCAACCCAUAUCUUAAUAGCAUCCCAUAUUUCAAGUCCAUCAACAGCAUAAGGGUAGUCCUUUAUCACAAGACGAAGGCCAUGAGGAGCAGAAGGAUCUUCAGUAGCCAAUCCUCUACAUCAAGCAAAAAGAAAAAAAAUGUUACUACCCUCUCAGUUUUUGCCAUAAUUAAAAGGGCACAUUUUGUUUUUUAGUCCCAGUUCAUUUUUCUAUCAUUAACCAUAUUAUUAUAGUUUAGUUUAUGCAGUAAUGUGUAUUUAAGAAGAAUACCUCUUGAUGAGAUCGGCUGGCAAUGAUUGUUCAGUGAAAACCCAAUUCUUGUAAACGGCUGAAGACAUCUCCAUAGAAUACUUUCCAGGCAAAAAUGAUUGUUCUAUAAUGCCAUUUGCAUUAAUCAGGUUUUGUCUAGCAAGUGCAUUGAUAUUAAUGGUAUCACGAUAGUGAGGAUAAAGAAGCUUAUAAAUGGGGUGAAUCACACUGAGAUUCCUGUUUGUUGCUAUUGCAAAUGGCUCCAUCACUGCAUGAGUAUUUAACCUGCAACACCAAAAAGGAAGAAAAAGAAAAAAACUUAUCAAUAAUAAAUUCAUAUACGCAUAAACUAUAUAUGUGCUAAAUAUUGCUGAAGAAGUUCUUACCAAUGACUCAUGAGCUGAUGAUAACCAGAGUCAUUUACAAUUACAUAAGCCUUGGCCAACAGCCAAAUUGUGCUGUCAACACCAUCAAUCGCAGGUAACACAACUUUGCUCACAGGACCCAAAUUAUCUCCACUUGGAUGUGGCUUGCUUAAUUCGAUAGCAAGUGGCUUCAAAGUGCCAUCAUCUUUCAAGAAUAGGAUCGUUCUUGUGGCAUAAGCUUUUGCAGUAGGUAAACUGUUUAUCCUCGUCAAAUAAGGAAUGAAUGCAUCUUGGUAAUCUAAUAUGAACAAUCUCUUAGCAGCAAGUGCCUG
rnacentral:lncRNA from 1 species